UCCCUGGUCGCUCAGAUGGUAAAGCAUCUGCCUGCAAUGCAGGAGACCCAGGUUCGAUCCCUGGGUGGGGAA
rnacentral:tRNA from 1 species